GUUAGUGUCAUCAUCACCUGUUAAAGAUCAUUGUAAAUAAUUUCAGCUUUUCUGUUAGAAAGAUGGACAAUGGGCCUCUUGUUGAUGUUUAAGUGUAGUCUAUGGAAACAGCUCUGAAAACAUAAUCAGAAGAAACUACAUAAUAAUAAUAAUAAAGAGCCUCUGGAAGAUAGGUUCAUUUCAUAAGAUUAUAUUGAGAAAAGAUUUUGUAACCUACCUUAGGA
rnacentral:misc_RNA from 1 species